rnacentral:tRNA from 1 species
GAGAUGUUAGUAAAAUAAUUACAUAACUUUGUCAAAGUUAAUUUAUAGGUUAAACUCCUAUAUGUCU